rfam:Ovis aries breed Texel chromosome 6, whole genome shotgun sequence.
UCCCCGGUGGCUCAGAUGGUAAAGCGCCUGCCUACAAUGCGGGAGACCCGGGUUCAAUCCCUCGGUCGGGAA